rnacentral:lncRNA from 10 species
ACAAAGCUACCAGCCUCACGGAGAAGGCGCAGUCCCUGUCCACAGAGACACAGCCUUGCCCCAGUUACUGCCCACCUGCAAGAGAUCCACAUUUCUGCCCUCCAGAGCUCCCAAACUGAUGGGGGAGAGAGACAUCAUCCCCCAGCUCUGGGAGUUUCCAGUCUGAUGGAGGAGACAGAGCCUGCUUCGAGUGGCGUGCAGUGGCACAUAGCUCAUUGUAACCUCAAACUUGAGCCCAGAGGCUCAAGUGUUCCUCCUGCCUUGGCCUCCUGAGUACCUGGGACUGUGGGUGUGCACCACCAUACCAGUGGCCGAGCCUGCUGCUGCUCCUGCUGUUGCCGGGGCCCCCGCCCGUCGCCGGCUUGGAAGACGCUGCCUUCCCCCACCUGGGGGAGAGCUUGCAGCCCCUGCCCCGGGCCUGUCCCCUGCGCUGCUCCUGCCCCCGAGUCGACACUGUGGACUGUGAUGGCUUGGACCUUCGAGUGUUCCCGGACAACAUCACCAGAGCCGCUCAGCACCUCUCCCUGCAGAACAACCAGCUCCAGGAACUCCCCUACAAUGA